rnacentral:rRNA from 1 species
GAUAAACGCUGGCGGCGUGCCUAACACAUGCAUGUCGAACGAUCCCGCAAGGGAGAGUGGCGGAAGGGUGAGUAACACGUGGAAUCUACCUCCUCGCAGGGAACAACCUCUCGAAAGAGAGGCUAAUACCCAAAGGGUCAGAAAUGAUCAGAGUCGAAAGGCGUGAGGAGAGGAGCCCGCGGCCCAUCAGCUAGUUGGUGAGGUAAUGGCUUACCAAGGCUACGACGGGUAGGGGAUCUGAGAGGAUGUCCCCCACACUGGAACUGAAACACGGUCCAGACGCCUACGGGUGGCAGCAGUGAGGAAUAUUGGACAAUGGGCGAAAGCCCGAUCCAGCAACGCCGCGUGGAGGAUGAAGGCCUUCGGGUCGUAAACUUCUUUAGAGGGAGACGAGAAAGGACGGUAUCCCUAGAAUAAGCGACGGCAAACUACGUGCCAGCAGCCGCGGU